rnacentral:rRNA from 1 species
GUGGGGAAUAUUGGACAAUGGGCGAAAGCCUGAUCCAGCCAUGCCGCGUGUGUGAAGAAGGUCUUCGGAUUGUAAAGCACUUUAAGUUGGGAGGAAGGGCAGUAAGUUAAUACCUUGCUGUUUUGACGUUACCGACAGAAUAAGCACCGGCUAACUUCGUGCCAGCAGCCGCGGUAAUACGAAGGGUGCAAGCGUUAAUCGGAAUUACUGGGCGUAAAGCGCGCGUAGGUGGUUUUGUAAGUUGGAGGUGAAAUCCCCGGGAUCAACCUGGGAACUGCCUCCAAAACUGCAUGACUAGAGUACGGUAGAGGGUAGUGGAAGUUCCUGUGUAGCGGUGAAAUGCGUAGAUAUAGGAAGGAACACCAGUGGCGAAGGCGACUACCUGGACUGAUACUGACACUGAGGUGCGAAAGCGUGGGGAGCAAACAGGAUUAGAAACCCUGGUAGUCC